GAAUCAGGCCCCAAGACUCAAGCUGCUGCCUAUUGGCUGUGCUAACUCCUUAUCUGAAAAGCUUACCACUGUGGCCAAGGCUAGCAUAACCUGAGGUAUCCCAGGCAGCCAGAAGUCUCCUGAGAUGUCCAGAUUCAAGAGACCAAAAGAAAUGGAGGAAGUGGAACUUGAAAGAAGCACUAAAGGGUGGUGAAGGAAGACACCCAGGCUCUCAUGACAUCUGCAUCAUGAGCAGCAGCUCUGCAUUUAAAGAUGAUUCUGGUCAGAGAUACUCAGGAUGCCGUGCAGAGCUGAAGUGCAACAUUAAAAAGCUGGCAUGUAUUAUACUCCAGAAGAGGCUGAGUUUUGCUGAGGCCCAAUUAUCAGACAGUGCUGCCAUGUGAAUGGGAAAGAAAGGAAAGGUGAAAUUGUUCAGCUCACCUGGGGCCUCUGCAAUUCUUCCUCCUUCCUAAUUUGGAAAUACCUCAACUGUCCCUCAGGUGACUUCCAGAGAAGAAGCAAGGAGCAGGUACGGUGAUUGCCGUGAGGCGUUCGGCAAGAAUGGAAGGAGAGGUGUCCACAAGCAGCCUGCAGUUUAGUCCCUGACAACAUCUGCGGCUGAUCCUGAUCUAGAGACGCUUCCCCUCUCUCCCUCCAGCUUUUUCCCCGGCUGCCACUUUCAACAUGUUUCACCAACAGCUGAGCCGUUUUGAACUUUAAUUUCCCAUUAAAGACAGAGCAGCAUAUAGGGGAGGAAAGGGCCUGCUAAUUACCUCCGAAACCACCACCCCCUAUUUCAAACUGCUGGGGAUUAAAGAUAUUUGAAAGAGGGGG